rnacentral:lncRNA from 1 species
CAAGAAUCUUAAUAAAAAAACAGAAAGGAUCCCAAUUGGAUUACAUUAUUCGCCAUAACAAUAGAUUUAACUAUUCAUAAUGAAAGAAGAAAAACAAUAGAUCGUCAUAAAAUACAUCAUCGGAUUCGUAGUAGAGAUGUAGAGUAAAAAAUAUAAAUCUUGCACUAAGAACUCCUUUCUCUUCCAAUCUAUGCUUCAACUCUUUGCUUGUUGUUUUUCUCCCUUGAAUUUGUCUCUUUAAUGUCUAAGUGAGUUUCUUGCCCCUCAAUGUGUGAAUCUCCUUCAAAAGUGUGAGAAAUUUGCAUUUAUAGGUGCAUUGCCGUGUGUAGAAAGUAGGGUUUUCUUCAGGACUUUAAAACAAGCCAAAAUUAUGCCCUAAUACCGUCAAGGCAGCGUCGUGGCACCUAGGAUGCAGCCACGCAGCGCCGCAUCAAAAUUGGGUAGUGGCGCUGCAGCGACUCUUUGAAGCCCUUGGCGCCGCAGCACCCUGAACCUGGCCCCUCGACAUCCACACUCUGUUUCUCCCUUCUUUUUGGUGCUACUGUUUUGGCAUCGAGGCGCUACUCAUCCAACAAUUUUUCUUUGCCUCUUUUGUUCCUUUAUCUUCAAUUUCUUUUCAAUCCAUGCCACUAAUUUCAAUUGAUGAUCUUUAUCGUGUCUUUCACCUUCUCAAUAAUCCUAUAAAACAACAUUAACAAACACAUUAACAACGUUCAAUACUCGUAAAACCUAGCUUAC